CGGGUGAGUAACGCGUGGGUAACCUGCCCUGUACAGGGGGACAACAGUUAGAAAUGACUGCUAAUACCGCAUAAGCACCCAGUUUCGCAUGAAACAGAGUGAAAAGAGUAAAUCGGUGUAAGAUGGCUCUGCGUCUGAUUAGCUAGUUGGUGGGGUAAAGGCUCACCAAGGCGACGAUCAGUAGCCGGCCUGAGAGGGCGACCGGCCACAUUGGGACUGAGACACGGCCCAGACUCCUACGGGAGGCAGCAG
rnacentral:rRNA from 1 species